rnacentral:rRNA from 1 species
CAGUCGCCGCGGGAAUACGUAGGUGGCAAGCGUUGUCCGGAAUUAUUGGGCGUAAAGGGCUCGCAGGCGGUUUCUUAAGUCUGAUGUGAAAGCCCCCGGCUCAACCGGGGAGGGUCAUUGGAAACUGGGAGACUUGAGUGCAGAAGAGGAGAGCGGAAUUCCACGUGUAGCGGUGAAAUGCGUAGAGGUGUGGAGGAACACCAGUGGCGAAGGCGACUCUCUGGUCUGUAACUGACGCUGAGGAGCGAAAGCGUGGGGAGCGAACAGGAUUAGAUACCCCCGUAGUCCCUGUCUCUUAUAC